UAAAAGGGUCAGUUGGCUAAAUAUGCCGCUCUCACCCUCGAUUGGUGGGUGCCGUAUGGGUAUCAAGACAUAUGGCUGACAUAAUUUGUGGGACCUCCAAGGGUUGGCCCGCUUAGGCCCACCCUCCA